GUAGUCAUAUGCUUGUCUCAAAGAUUAAGCCAUGCAUGUCUAAGUAUAAGCAUUAUACCGCGAAACUGCGAAUGGCUCAUUAAAUCAGUUAUCGUUUAUUUGAUAGUACCUUACUACAUGGAUAACCGUGGUAAUUCUAGAGCUAAUACAUGCUAAAAAUCCCGACUUCGGAAGGGAUGUAUUUAUUAGAUUAAAAACCAAUGCCCUUCGNGGCUCUCUGGUGAUUCAUAAUAACUUCUCGAAUCGCACGGCCUUGCGCCGGCGAUGGUUCAUUCAAAUUUCUGCCCUAUCAACUUUCGACGGCUGGGUCUUGGCCAGCCGUGGUGACAACGGGUAACGGAGGGUUAGGGGUCGACCCCGGAGAAGGAGCCUGAGAAACGGCUACUACAUCCAAGGAAGGCAGCAGGCGCGCAAAUUACCCAAUCCCGACACGGGGAGGUAGUGACAAUAAAUACUGAUACAGGGCUCUUUCGGGUCUUGUAAUUGGAAUGAGUACAAUUUAAAUCCCUUAACGAGGAACAAUUGGAGGGCAAGUCUGGUGCCAGCAGCC
rnacentral:rRNA from 1 species